rnacentral:lncRNA from 1 species
CAAAUGUGACAGUGAUUGUGUGUACGUGAUGACAUGAUUAUAUCACACGAGAUUGUAACACUUGCCUUGCUGGCAUCUCUCACUCUCUUGCUGGCUUUGAAGAAGCAAGCUGCCAUGUUGUGGCUGCCUUUGUUGGAAGGUGAUGUGGCAAGGAACUGAGGACGGCCUCUAGGAGCUGAGGAUGGACUCCAGCUGACAGCCAGCAAGACACAGAAGCCUUCCAUCCUAAAGCUGUAAGGAACGGAAUCCUGCUAACAAAAGUGAUCCUUCCCCAGACGAGCCUCAGAUGAGGUGGAGCCCCGACCGACACCUUGAUUGCAGCCUUGUGAGACCCUACGCAGAGGACCCAGUCUGUGCCCAGACUCCUGACCCACAGAAACUGAGGUCCUGUCCACUCUCAAGAGGAAGGAAUUACAUAGGAUGUGUAUACCAGCGGGCAGAACUCUGGGGGGCCAUCUUAGAAUUCUGCCUACCACGGGGCUGUGGGAUUAAAUAAGAUACUGUGUGUAAAACGCUUAGCUCAGUGCCUGGCCCAGAGAAAGACGCAAUAAGUGGUAGUCAUAGUCACCACCAUCAAUACGCAUAGUAGACAAAAUAAUGGCCCCCCAAAGAUGUCCUUGGAAUCUGUCAAUAUGUUAUGCUACGUGGCAAAGAAAAUGAAGGCUGCAGACGGAAUCAAGCUGGCUAAUCAGCUGACCUUAAAAUCGGGAAAUCAUCCUGGAUUUGCUCCUUAUGGAACCACAAGGGUCCUUCAAAGUGGAAGAGUGAGGCAGAAGAAGAGUCAGAACCAGAGAGAUGGCAGCAUGAAAAGACUUGGCCCAACGUUGCUGGCUUUCAAAAUGGAAGAAGAGGACCACGAGCCAAGGAAUGUGGGCGGCAAGGAAUGUGGCCAAGCUGGAAGGGGAGAGGAAUAGAUUUUCCCCUGGAGCCUCCAGGAAAGAAUGCAAGCCUGCUGUCACCUUGACUGUAGCCCGGCGAGACCUGUUUCAGACUUUGGACGUCCAGAACUGGCUACAGAAAAAGAUUAAAAUGACAGAGUUCAGGGUGCAUAUUGAUUCAUUGGCCAUUUAUAAAAGCCGGUUGAGAAACUGUGAAGUGGAGAAUCUGAAAUGGAGUAGGUGACAGUCUUCCUAUGGCCACUUUGCUCGGUCUGGGUGUAUGUGGUGUGAGGCCUAUGGAGGACGAAGACAGAGCAGAGCACUUCCAAAGGAGACUGACAUGAACGG